GGGCAUCACACAGGGUCUACACGCAGCAUUGUGAGAAUUACAUUGUUGCACAUUAUCCAAGGGCUUAGAGACGAUAAAAUAACGGACAGCAGGAUAAAAUCCUAGUGCACAACUGCAUCAGAAUACUACGUGGACGCUGGAAACGACCACCGGCAGAGAAUUGAUGUGAAUAAUCAUAUGGAAGCUGAAUGCUGUUCAUUUAGUGCAACAUCUACAACAGUCUGCAGAAAUUUACAUUCCAGAGAGGAGGUGAAGUGGGUGUCUUUACGUCCAAAAACUGCCCCAGCUUUAAGAAUACACCAUGAUGAAGUGUUAUGCAUCCUAAGAGGCAUUGCAAGCUAGCUGUGAGGUUUCGUUGCCAAGGCAACUCAGACACCCACUCUACAGUGUUCGGCUCACCCUUGCUGAGCAGGCACAUUGGUCAAGACCCACUAAAAGCGACCGAACAACAAAAGAGAGAGGGAAAGAAAGAGUAAGCUAAGUUUGGAAGGUUGCCCUGAAUCAAGAAGAGCAGCUGUAGACACCAGCAGCUGGGUUUCACUACCAUCCUAAUGCA